AACGAACGCUGGCGGCAUGCCUAACACAUGCAAGUCGAACGAGACCUUCGGGUCUAGUUGCGCACGGGUGCGUAACGCGUGGGAACCUGCCCUUAGGUUCGGAAUAACUCCCCGAAAGGGGUGCUAAUACCGGAUAAUGUCUUCGGACCAAAGAUUUAUCGCCCUUGGAUGGGCCCGCGUUGGAUUAGCUAGUUGGUAGGGUAAAAGCCUACCAAGGCGACGAUCCAUAGCUGGUCUGAGAGGAUGAUCAGCCACACUGGGACUGAGACACGGCCCAGACUACUACGGGAGGCAGCAGUGGGGAAUAUUGGACAAUGGGCGAAAGCCUGAUCCAGCAAGGCCGCGUGAGUGAUGAAGGCCUUAGGGUUGUAAAGCUCUUUUACCCGGGAUGAUAAUGACAGUACCGGGAGAAUAAGCGCCGGCUAACUCCGUG
rnacentral:rRNA from 1 species